rnacentral:RNase_P_RNA from 1 species
CGGGUCGGCCGGGCCGUCGCGGCGGUGCGGAUCAGCUCCGAGCCGCCGAGGAACGUCCGGACACCGCAGGGCAGGAUGGUGGGUAACGCCCACUCGGGGUGACCCGCAGGCCAGUGCCACAGAGAGCAGACCGCCCGCUCGGCUCCCGCAGGGGAGUCGGACGGGUAAGGGUGAAACGGUGGUGUAAGAGACCACCAGCGCGGCAGGUGACUGCCGCGGCUCGGCAAACCCCAUCCGGUGCAAGGCCGAACAGGGUGCGUGAUCAGGGCUGCCCGCCCGAGCACCCGGGUUGGCCGCUCGAGGCCCGCGGAGACGCGGAGCCCAGAUGGAUGGCGGUCCCCGCCCGCAGCGCCGCAAGGUGCGGGCGGGACAGAAUCCGGCGUACAGGCCGGCCCGUCCC